rnacentral:rRNA from 1 species
ACAUGGUCUCAGACGGUAUUACCAGAUCCCAUCUGAUCUUGGAAGCUAAGCAGGAUCAGCCCUGGUUAGUACUUGGAUGGGAGAUCACAAGCGCAUAGCUGUAGACCAGGCA